GACGAACGCUGGCGGCGUGCCUAAUACAUGCAAGUCGAGCGGACCAAGAAGAGCUUGCUCUUUGAGGUUAGCGGCGGACGGGUGAGUAACACGUGGGCAACCUGCCUGUAAGCUUGGGAUAACUCCGGGAAACCGGUGCUAAUACCGAAUACAACAAAGGACCGCAUGGUCCCUUGUGAAAAGUCCUUGUGUCACUUACAGAUGGGCCCGCGGCGCAUUAGCUUGUUGGUGGGGUAACGGCCUACCAAGGCGACGAUGCGUAGCCGACCUGAGAGGGUGAUCGGCCACACUGGGACUGAGACACGGCCCAGACUCCUACGGGAGGCAGCAGUAGGGAAUCUUCCGCAAUGGACGAAAGUCUGACGGAGCUACGCCGCGUGAGCGAUGAAGGUUUUCGGAUCGUAAAGCUCUGUUGUCAGGGAAGAACCGCCGGGAUAACCUCCCGGUCUGACGGUACCUGGCGAGAAAGCCCCGGCUAACUACGUGCCAGCAGCCGCAGUAAUAC
rnacentral:rRNA from 1 species